AUGUCUACUAAGAAGCAUCGAGCCAUGGGGUCUGAGGAGUGGGUGAGCCGCCUGAGGGCAUUUGCCUCUUCUGGCACUUGGCCCUCCAGUGCAGGGAACAGGCCAUCUCCGAAACAGGCCAAGUGGCCCAACCUCUACCAGAAGAUUGAGUAGUGUCCCACGAUGCUGCGUGGGCAAACCUCUAUCUUAAGGGUAGCGCAGACAUGUACCUGUGGCUUUCACCCCCAGCAGCCCUGCAGCUACCUCUGCCUCCACCUCUGCUGCGCCUGCACGGAGCCCUGGGAGGCAUGCAUUGACGCUGGCGAUGUUUGAGAAAUCGCGGUUCGGUGGGACUUUGUCUGCUGCAGCCAAGCCGAAUGUCAAUCUGACUAGGAGGCCUGUUGAGCGUCCCUCCAGCCCUGCCACUGUCCCGUCUGGGAGAAGCACUCCAUCCGCUACCCCACCUCGAGUGACGCCCCCUUCCAGUCCCAGCUUCUACAGGCCUGUCUCCCCUUUCUCUCUGCCUCCAUCCAGCCCUGUCAUGUCGGCGGUUGUAUCAGAUAUGAGUCCUGCUCCUCCAGGUCUCCUCCCUGCUCCUCCUGGUCCCCUCCCUGCUCCUCCUGGUCCCCUCCCUGCUCCUCCUGGUCCCCUCCCUGCUCCUCCUGGUCCCCUCCCUGCUCCUCCUCUUGCUGCUCCAGAUCAGUUCUGGCUGCCGGUGGAAAUGAGGAAGACCAUUCCCCAGCAGGACCAGCGCUGGAUUGCGUCCGAGCUGUGGAGGAACCAGCGGCUGCGCCCGGACGUCCAGCUCUGGUAUGAGCCACCAGUUCCUGCCCUCAUCUACAACAAGGUCCCGUCACCAGACCGCUUUUUUAUGCACCCUGCCCCUCCUCCGAGUCCCUGACCAAGGAGCAGUGGUUGGCGGAGAGGAGGAACAAAGAUCACCCGUGUUAAAUCUAU
rnacentral:lncRNA from 1 species